AUCAGCAGCACUCUUUGACAUAACAUGCACUACAUAUAGAGGACAUCCAACCUAAGAAGUGAAAAGUAAAUAGAAACAUAUCAUAAAAGUGAAAAAACAACUAAUAGAAAACUAAAUAUGGCUUGAUCAAGAAAGGUGCUCACUGGAAGACCAAAUGCAGCAGGCAUCUUCCACUCAGAGGUCUACCUGGAGGUCAUUCUGAGGUUCAAUGCCCUCACAGCACAGUCCUUGACCAGACCUCCUGGUGGCAGUCCUCAGGUCUCAGAUUUUGCUUGAAACACACCUGAUUGGCCAAGACACAAGCUCUGUUGGUUGCCUCUGCCUCGACUUCUUCUGGCCGACUCAACUCAUGACCUUCUGGCCCAGUGAUGCCCAUGGAGAGAAGUUUCCUA